rnacentral:misc_RNA from 1 species
AAUCCAUCCAUACAAAGUGUCUUUGUAGUGGUAGCAUCAAAAUGCUUCGCACCAGUAAAACUGAAUGCUACAUUAAAGCUACCAAGAGGAGCAUUGCCUGGAAUAUUAGCCUUUCUGUUAAAAUAUUCCAACAUCUCAUUAUAAUUGCAAGCACUAGAGCCGUCACGACCGCCGGACUCCUGAAAGUUAUUAAUAUCCCUUGAAACAUUAGGCAAUACUAGGUUAUCAUAUAAUGAAAGAUCCCUUGUAUGGUCUUCAUCAAUCUCUACAACCCUAGAACCAGCCACCCCUUUACAGUAAAGCAACCUUGUAUCAUAAUUCACAUCAAAACCCCUUCCUAACGCCUGUGCCGCAUUUAAAGCAGUAUGAUAAGCAGCUGCGUUUUCUUCCAUUACAUCCCCAAAAACUCCAAUCUAAAGCUCAAUCCAACGCCAACCCAAAAACCCAAAUUCAAUUUGAAUCAAAAGGGGUGCUUCAAGAAGUCCAAAAAAGUAAAAAGUUUGAAUCUUUUUUCAGAUCAGAUAGUCAAGAACCAAAACCCCCAAAUUGUAAUCUUAUGAAAUCAGAGAAAUCAAGAUUAUGAGAGUCAACAGAAGUAAAUCAGAUUCUUGGAAGUUUGACUGAGAAAAAGAUUUACCCAAAAAAUGG